rnacentral:lncRNA from 1 species
GAAAAUGGGUUAGGAAGUCCAUAUUUCAGCCUGACUCCAGUUGAAUACAGUGUUGCAGUGUCAUCAUGAUGUCUGUGGGUAUGAGCAAUUGCAAAUGGAUUUAUCCUGCCUGUGUCAAUGUGACUAUGAAGAAGCAGCCAGCAUAGAGGUGCCUCAGUAUUUGAAACUUCUGCUUUUCAAGUGUUGAUGGAGUUUGAUUUUUCAAAAAAAACC